GUGGACAUGUGCUACCAUAUGUUCUUACUUUGCCAUCUAUAGGUGGCUUAUGUUCACCAGCUCAAUUAGACCUUGUUGCAAGGACAGAGGGCAUUCCGUAUCCAGGAUUCUUGCCUUGGUGCACCGGAAGAAUCGAAUCAAACCUGGGCUUGGAGAAUGACUGCAAUGUUUUAUUGCGUGGAGUUUUCCAGCUCUGGCUGUGACAAUGUGGAUUACUGGUGCCAUUGUUAAUUUUAGGUCCAUUUGACUGGGCUAAGGGAUGCCCAAGUAGCUGGUAAAAGAUUGUUUCUGGGUGUGUUUCUGGAAGAGAUCAGUGUUUGAAUCCAUAGACCGAGUCAAGAGGGUCUGCCCUCCCCAGUGUGGGCAUCAUGCAAUCUGCCAAGGACCUGCAUAGAACACAGACAUGGAGGACAGGAAAACUCUCUCUGCUGGAGGUGGAACAUCUCUCUUCUCCUGCCUUCAAACACUGGCCUCGGUGAUUCUUGGGCCUUCAAACUUGAACUGAAUUACACCGUGACCAGCUCUCCCUGUUCUCCAGCCUGCAGAUGGCAGACCAUGGGACUUCUCUGCCUUAAUAAUUAUGUGUGCCAAUUCCUAUAAUAGAUUUUCUCUCUCUCCAUCAAUAAUCAAUCAUGUAUCCAUCCAUCCAUCCAUCCUUCCCUGUCUCUCUAUCUUUCUAUCUAUCAUCUAUCUAUGUUAUGUUUAUCUAGAGAACCCUGACUAAUAAAAUUGGUUUUGAAUUUCAUUCUUUAAAGCAGUUAAAUUAAAAUGAAACAGAAAAGACAUUUCUCGUAUCUUCACUAUCAAUUUGAAAUUUUUUUUAAUCUUUCUGUUUUGACCCAGUUUAUUCAGAAGCAUUUUUCUUAAUUGCCAUGUAUCUGGC
rnacentral:lncRNA from 10 species